rnacentral:sRNA from 1 species
GCUGGGCGCAGUGGCACGUGCCUGUAAUCCAAGAGAUUUGGGAGGCUGAGGCAGGAGGAUCCUAUGUUCAAGUCGAGCCUUGGCAAUUUAGCGAGGCCCUCAACAAUGUAGGGAGACCCUGCCUCAA